CCUGCCAGUCAAGCACAGGGAAGCCAGAAGCGAAUCCAAAAGCAUUUACCCUGAAAGGCUAUGCUCCAGGAAGCUGGACUCUGCAGCACGUCAGCAGCUCAGGGAAGACACUGUUUGCACAGCUUAGUGGUGACGCGUGUCUAAAAUACAAAGUCCUGGGCUGGAACCCAGGCUCCACUUCAAAGGGCAAAGCCAACAGAGCAUCCUAGAGGCAGUGGCUGCUCAACAAUGCACAGUGCCAACCAUCUAGGUUUGAAAGCAGAAAGCUUCACCAUCAACCAAGGUCAUGACCGCUCGACAGGUUGUGAAAUCUGAAGUUGGGAAGAGGUGCCAGUCCCCAUUCUAAGACGGUUCUGUAAAGUUCCAGGCUAGCCUGUGCUAUGACUGAGACCUUGCCUCAAAUGAACAAGCAAACAAAAGAGAACGGAAACCCUGAAGCCCGUCUUCUCCCCCUACCACCCUCCCAGGAGUUAGAAAAGAGGCCCUGCCUCAGAUAAGCCACCUGGGGCUCACUCUGCAUGACAUAUGUCUGGGCUUUGGAGGAUGCCCGCUGACUACAUCACUGUGUGGAGGCUGCCCCAGGCCAUGACUGUACGCUCCACUCUUUACCAACUCAUGCCUGAAUUUCAUGGCGAUGGUGACAAAGGGUUAAUUUGAUUGAAUUAUAAUUUAUCUUUCUUAUUUUUUCUGGUGUUGGGAUUGAACUUAGGGCCUUGGGCGUGCCAGGCAAGCUGUACAAUUGGACCCUCAGCCCAUGACGGAUUCUCAUACUCAGCUUCUGGUCCUAUCUAACUUAAUAGCUAGGGAGGCCAUUAUCAGGCCUCCAUCCUGAGGCCCCCAGCAUACUCUGCAGGCUCUUCGGAGCUGACUAUAUUUGGAGCCAAGCACCAGCCACAUGAACACUGUCAAGGGCUCCUGAGUGCAUACUGAAGUUACAGAACACUGCAGAGCUACCCCAAAUGACCCUCCAGUUGGGAGACUCCUCAGAAGAUGAAUGUCCUAACAAUACAGAACAGGAGACACAAAAACUAACAUCUAGUUGGCUUAGGAACUGGAGUUGUUAAGAAUCUGGGCUUGAACAGCAGUUGUGGGGAUAGCCCUGAAGAUCAAAGUACAGGCAAGCCUGGGUCUGAGCACACAGCUGGUCCAGAAUCGUCAGAACGAGAUGAAACUGUUGGGGCUGGAGAGAUGGCUCAGCGGUUAAGAGCAUUGACUGCUCUUCCAGAAGUCCUGAGUUCAAUUCCCAGCAACCGCAUGAUGGCUCACAACCAUCUGUAAUGAGAUCUGAUGCCCUCUUCUGGUGUGUCUGAAGACAGCUACAGCGUACUUACAUAUAAUAAAUAAAUAAAUUAAAAAAAAAAAAAA